rnacentral:lncRNA from 10 species
CUAUGAUCAGGGAUAUAAAGAAAAUAUGCUUGUUACGAAUGAAAGGAAAUCUUAGCAGAAAUAUAGAAACUAUAAAACGAACAAAGAGGAACUUCUAUUUUAAAAAGUAUCUUAAAUAAAAUAAAUUGUUUAAUAAGCUUAACAGCAAAAUGGAAACAUUAAACGGAAAAAAAGGCAAGGAAUUUGAAGAUAGAUAAAUAGAAAUUAUCCUACUUGAAGGCCGGGCGCGGUGGCUCAAGCCUGUAAUCCCAGCACUUUGGGAGGCCGAGACGGCCUCCCAAAGGUCAGGAGAUCGAGACCACGGUGAAACCCCGUCUCUACUAAAAAUACAAAAAAUUAGCCGGGCGCGGUUGUGGGCGCCUGUAGUCCCAGCUACUCAGGAGGCUGAGGCAGGAGAAUGGCGUGAACCCGGGAGGCGGAGCUUGCAGUGAGCCGAGAUCGCGCCACUGCACUCCAGCCUGGGCGACAGAGCGAGACUCCGUCUCAAAAAAAAAAAAAAAAAAAAAUGCAUUCUCAGCUGGUCACAGUGGUUCACGCCUGUAAUCCCAACACUUUGGGAGGAUGAGGCGGGCAGAUCAUGAGGUCAGGAGAUCGAGACCAUCCUGGCUAACAUGGUGAAACCCUGUCUCUACUAAAAAUACAAAAAAUUAGCCGGGCAUGGUGGCAGGUGCCUGUAGUCCCAGCUACUUGGGAGGCUGAGGCAGGAGAAUAGCUUCACCCCAAGAAGCGGAGGUUGCAGUAAGUGGAAACAGCAUCACUGCACUCCACCUUGGGUGGCAGGGAGACCCCAUCUCAAAAAAGAAAAAAAAAGAAAAAGAAAAGAAAAGAAAAUGCAUUCUCACACUUUUGUAAAACUCAUAGCUGUUCCUCACCAAGUGAUAUGGUUUAGCUGUGUCCCCACCUAAAUCUCAACUUGAAUUAUAUCUCCCA